AGCCCAGUAACUCAGUGGUUAGAGUGUCGUUCUUAUAUGGAGAAUCUGGUCUUAUUCCCUGGAAUCAGCUCAGCUUCAUAUACAAGAAAUGCGAAGGUCGCGGGUUCGAAUCCCGUUUGGACUA